rnacentral:rRNA from 1 species
UGGGGAAUCUUGCGCAAUGGGCGAAAGCCUGACGCAGCGACGCCGCGUGGGGGACGAAGGCCCUCGGGUUGUAAACCCCUUUCGGCAGGGACGAAGCGAUCGUGACGGUACCUGCAGAAGAAGCCUCGGCUAACUACGUGCCAGCAGCCGCGGUAAGACGUAGGAGGCGAGCGUUGUCCGGAUUCAUUGGGCGUAAAGAGCACGCAGGCGGUUUGGCAAGUCGGAUGUGAAAACCCGAAGCUCAACUUCGGGCGUGCAUCCGAAACUGCCCGACUAGAGGUAGGUAGGGGAGAUCGGAAUUCCUGGUGUAGCGGUGAAAUGCGCAGAUAUCAGGAGGAACACCGGUGGCGAAGGCGGAUCUCUGGGCCUUACCUGACGCUCAGGUGCGAAAGCUAGGGGAGCGAACAG